rnacentral:snoRNA from 1 species
GCAUGGGUUUGGAUUUUUGACAGGCCCGCUCUCCUAGGCCUCUCGUAGUGCCCCCUGACAGAGCAAACUGUGGCCCUGAACCAUUGCCUGGCUUCUGUGCCUGUGGGCUGCUGGCACUGAAGUGGGUUGCAUGGUG